UUUGUAGUCAUACGCUCGUCUCAAAGAUUAAGCCAUGCAUGUGUAAGUGUAAAUAUACUAGUUUGGAACUGCGAAUGGCUCAUUAUAUCAGUUAUAGUUUAUUUGGUGAAGUGUACUACUUGGAUAACCGUAGUAAUUCUAGGGCUAAUACAUGAGAAAGUCCUCUGGUGAGGUGUGUUUAUUAGAAUGAAAACCAUAUGCUUCGGCAUGAUAGUGAGUAAUAGUAACCUAUCGUAUCGCAUGCUUAAUGUAGCGAUGAGUCUUUCAAGUUUCUGCCCUAUCAGCUUUCGAUGGUAGUAUAUGGGCCUACCAUGGCAGUAACGGGUAACGAAGAA
rnacentral:rRNA from 1 species